rnacentral:lncRNA from 1 species
UUCUGUUAAGAACACAUUAACAUACAAAUUAUAGUAUAAGUCACAAGACCAUUUCGUAAAGUAAAUCAAACAGCAGCAAAACUAGAAAAUAAAAUGAAAGAAAAAAGAGAAAAGAGUUGGACCUUUAAUGAUAAGUUUCUCCUGGAAAUUGAGUUGAAUCUACACUUUAAGUAGCCUUUUCUAUUAAUAGAACUUUCCAAAACAGCUUUACAAUUGAUGAAGGGAAGAAAAAUCCGCCGACGGAAACUUGACUGGAGAAGCGAAAAAUCAACAAAAAAUAGACAAAACAGCGAACCAAAAACCUCGAUCUGCAACUUCAAACAAAAUAUAGCUAACCCGACCCCUUUAGUUUGACAUUAAGCAAGGGUGUUUGAAUUAGUUCUAGGUGAUAUUUAGUGUUAGGGACAAUAACUAUGGUGAGAUUUGGUGGGAGGAAACAAGGGUGAAGGAAGAUGAGAUUAAUGGUGGUUUAAGGAAUGAUUUAACUUUGUAGAAGAAAGUGAUAUUUAUGGUCCCUCAUUUUCCUCUGUUUUUUCGUUCCUCCUAGACUUCUCUCGUUCUCCUCUCUAAUUUGUUUCCCGUGACCCUCUCUCUCUCUCUCUAUUCUGUUUUUGUUUCCCCCCUCUGUAUCUCUGUGUGUGUUAUAUAUUGUAAGGUAAAAUGGAGUGGUGGGUGAGAAAGAAAAUGUGUGGGCCCCCAAGGUAGAUAAAGAGUGAAUUUUGGUUAAGGGUCACAAAAUGCCAAAAUCAUAAAUGUGAUAAACAAGAAUAAAAAUUCUGUUAUGGGAAAGAUUCCCUCAAUUGGGAGGUGGUCACAUAAUUUUAGGGAGGAAUGGGAAGAAAACCAAUUUAAAGAACUGGACCCACUAAAAAUAUUUAAAAAAAUUAUGAAAGAGCAAGAGGGGGCCAUCUGAUUUUUUUUUCGAUCUCUUUUCUUUUACCUCUUCUUUGGUUAAUCAAAAUAGCAACUAAAAUAAUAAAGAAAAUAAUAACUUAACUAACGUUGAAAUGCAUAUAAUGGAGGAGUCAUUUUUCUUGUUUUCUUGUUUUUUUUUUGUUUUGAAAUAAAAUACAAAAGUGAGGAAAGUAAAUUGUCAAUAAUAAGCUAUGUACAUACACCAAAUGUAUACAAAAGAAAAAGUAUUUUCGAUACUUAUCAAAAAUAUUAGGCUAAACUUUAUAAGAAAUUAUUUUUGGUGUUUUCUUUUCUUUGAAUAAGAUAAAAUUGCACUAACUAAUAAAGUUAAAACCAAUACGACAAAAACUCAAUAUUUUAAAAAACAUGUGACUAUUUUUACUUUUCAGCUGUAUCAAAAUUAAGAUAAACUAAAAAUCACUAGACAAAAUUACAAUUAGCUAAAAUCAAAGGGAAAUAUACUUCUUUUUAGUUUUUAAUAUUAAGAUGAAAUAAGCCAAAAGGUUUAAAAUAUUCAAAGUAACAAUAUUAGACCUAAAACCAAAAUCUAAGCACUAAAAUGAGUAAAAUUUCAAGGAGGGUCAAAAUUUACAUUUCUACAGCUGUCCUUUGACUGGAAACAUGAAGAGUUUUCAGACAAAGAACGACGAGACAGGUUUUUUGACCCGACCCUUAUUUAAAGAGACCAAAAACUAAAAGAAAGGAGAAUGUGACCGAGCCCUGGUAUCUGAGCUGCCUAUAUAUCCUUGGCUAUAAAGUAAUCAGGUCACAUGUAGUUCAGAAGUAAAUGAAGUGAGGGAGUGUGUGGAAAGGAUGAGAGAGUCGAGUGAGAUACCAUUCCGUCGAGGUUCCGGUCCGCGGUCCUGUCAUUACAUCAAAUCAAAAUCUAAAAGAACUAAGCAAGCCUAUCAACUAUGAGUUACAAGAUUCAUAUCUAUAAGUCUACUAAAGCUUGAUCUUGAAUUUUGAAUGGUUCUUCAUGCAGACUUUUGAUUUGAACCUUGAUGCUUGCUAACUGCAGGUGUUGAUUCACUCUUCCACGACUUCGGGUCAAGGCCGGACAUGCAGUGCUCGUGACUUCAACCAUGUCUUGAACAGUUCACAUCUUUCAUCUGCUUCUGCAUUUGGAUUUACUUCUUCUCCUUUCUUUUUUUUUUCAUUUUUUUCUUUACCUUUUUUUUGGAUUGAGACUUCUUCUUUUGGUCAUCUCAGACUGUCGACUCGAAUUCUUGAGGUGAGCUUCUGCUACUUCUAACUUGAAUUGAGUUCUAAAAUGACUUCCCUCGUUCUCCAGGCGGGCACCUGCUGCUGAGUGGAAACUUGAAAUAAAUUCCCUCAUUCUCCAGGUGGGCGCCUGCUACUACAGCAAAACAGACAAAAUAAAAGAAAUAUUUUUGCCCCAGUUUGCACUAGGAAGAUUUGUGAGUUAUUAGCAGAACUAUAAAUCACCUACGCUGUUGAUGAAUGAUGCAAUGAUGAAAGUAAAAUUAAAGAUUCGACUAGGAUGUGUGUCUCCUAGGGAUGAAACCUGAAUAACCUAAACUAGGAAGUGCGUCUCCUAGACUUGAGAUUGAGCUUGCGAAAAAUUAUAAACUAAGCUUGACUAAAGUAAAAACUGACCUUGUUCUCCAGGCGGGGCCCCUGAUUUCAAGAAAACUAAAGAUUGAUAACUUAAGACAACUAAAAAUUGACCCCUUUUCUUUUCAAAUCCAAACUUCCCUUUUUUUUAAAAUUAUCCUAGGAAAAAAUUCAUCAGACUAGGUUCUCUAUCUUAGGAGAAAGAUUUAUCAGACUAAGAUGUUUAUCCUAGGAGAAAAUUCAUCAGACUAGAUCCAUUUUUGUUAUUUUAGGAGAAAGAUUCAUCAGACUAAGAUUUCUAUCCUAUGAGAAAGUUCAUUAGAAUAGGUCUUCUAUCUUAGGAGAAAGAUUCAUCAGACUAAGAUUUCGAUCCUAGGAGAAAAUUCAUCAGACUAAGAUUUCUAUCCUUGGAGAAAAUCAUUGGACUAGGUUUUCUAUCUUAGGAGAAAGAUUCAUUAGACUAAGAUUUCUAUCCAAGGAGAAAGUUCAUCAGACUAGGUCCCUUUUUUUGUUAUCUUAGGAGAAAGAUUCAUCGGACUAAGAUUUCUAUCCUAUGAGAAAAUUCAUCAGACUAGGUUUCCUAUCUUAGGAGAAAGAUUCAUCAAACUAAGAUUUUGAUCAUAGGAGAAAAUUCAUCAGGCUAAGUCCCCUUUUUCAUUAUCUUAGGAGAAAGAUUCAUCAGACUAUGAUUUCUGUCCUAGGAGAAAAUUCAUCAGACUAGGUUUCCUAUCUUAGGAGAAAGAUUCAUCAGACCAAGACGUUUAUCCUAGAAAAAAAAUCAUCAGACUAGGUACUUUUUUUGGUAUCUUAGGAGAAAGAUUCAUCCGACUAAGACGUUUAAUUGGGAGAAAAUCAAUCAGACUAGGACUUUUAUCCUAGGAGGAAAAAUGUGAAGAGCAAUGACAACAUUUAUGCACGUUACCGAGACAAAAUAAAGGCAAAAAUUUGAGAAACUUUCCUUUGUCGGCUCUUUCUUUCUCUUCUUUUUCUUUCUUUUUCUUUUUUGUUUUCUUUUUUUUUGAAACCACUUUCCUUGCACCGCUUUGUUCCUGUUCAAACAAAGAAAAUUCUGUCAGUUUUAAAUGUGGUGGUCAGUUUGUGGCCUUGAGUCUCGAGCAGCUUGGCUUUUUCUCGAUCAGUUUGAGUCGGUCUCAAGAGACCUUUUGUUCUGCACCCACUCUAAUUGUUUUACAGCCAGUACCAUUUGUAUUUGAGGCUCAAUCAGCCUUAUCCCAACUGGUGAUCUUUGCUUACGUGAUCUUUUUUGAUAUCUUGAAUGACUUUCUACUUUUGAGCAAUUUGUCUGUCAGAGAGAAUCACAAGUUAUCUUUGUUUGUGCCAAGCAGACUGACAAGAGUCUUUUGGGGGAGCCUUUCCAUGAAUCCUCAAGUCAUGUUGACUGUAACAACAGAGUGUACUGGCCAAAUUUACUUUAUGCAAUUGAAAAAUUAGUAGCAGAUUUUGAAAUCUUUUCUUGCUUGUUUUGACAAGGACUGACUCGAAGUGAAGGACACAAUGAUACAAAGAAACAAGUAUGAACAAGAAAAUGCCCCUGUCGGAAGGACAAAAGGAAGAGUUUUUUCCCCUUUUUUCCCUUUUUUUCUUUUUUUUUUUCAAUAACUAGCCUUAAUGGUCAUGACAUGCAUUUUGGACUCAACGGCAUGAUCUAUCAAACUAAUCCAAUCUUCCCUUUUGCCAUUCUUAUGACAUUUGAAGUCGGGCUUGUUCGUGCCAAUCCUUUGUAUCAUCUUCACGGCUCACUUUCGACUAGUGGUGCCCCGAGGGGUUUUCUGAUAAGUUUCUCUCAUUUGUUCAUCUCUGCUUAUCGUCACCUUACAGUACCCGUGAGGGUUUUCACUAGUAAGACUCUUAUUUUUCUUUUUCUUUUUCUUCCCCCCUUUUAUUAAGAAACUUGACAAUGUUCUAUGCCGUGUAACAACCGUUGUUCAUUGAAUGCUUCUAUUGGUGUUCUUGAAGGCAUAUCUGAAGGUCUUUAUUUGGAAGGUUUUGGAUAGGGUUGGAAAGAAGGCUCGACAUGAAGGCUAAAAGUAGACUCAAAAUGAGGGGUUAUGGACUUACAACUCUUGGAAUCAACUCUUUCAAAAGUGAAAUAAAAUCUCUACCCCAGUUUCAGAUACUGGGGAUUUUUGGAUAUAUUUUUUUUGAAUUCUUAUUUGGUUAGACCGAACCGUAAGGCUGCCUACGUAUCCUUUUGUUUUAAGGAAUCAGGUCAAACGUAGUUCAAACAUCUACCUAAAUUAUUUUUCAUCUUUCUUUCUUUUUUUUUUCUUUUUUUUUUGCCCCAGCUUCUAUCUUCUAAGGGCAUGGACCUUCGACAGUUCUUUUCUUCUUUUUUUUCACUUAAACUUUGAAAGAGCUACCCCAGUUUGUACUCUUGGGGCAUGGACCUUUAUUGUUAUUAUUUUGUUUUUUAAUUAUUUUUUUGACUUUUGACUCUAAACUUGAUUCCAAAAUAGGGUGGUCGAAGAAAAUAACCCAGGCUCAAAAGGGAUAACAAAGGGUAUAAAGUGUUUGGGUAGCAGAAAAAAGGGCCUCCAAGCCUCGAGAACGCCAAACACAAUAUCCUUUUGCGAUCACAACAUUGAUGAACAUGUCUAUCUUCUUGGUUUGUCGUGGUCACAAAAUACUUUCCAUCCCUUAAUGUCAAACUUUCCAAAUAACUUCAACUGAUUAAACAUCCUCAAGCUCGAUCUUCAUAAUGAUUUGAAGGUAAAUUUUAUUCGACCUUAAUUCCAAAGUAUUUCAACUCUUUAUUCAUCCUCAAAUUUUUUUUCCAGCUAUCCAAUUCCAGAUUAAAUCAGUUUCGAAGAUCUGGCCAAAAUUUCCGCAUGCAUGUCAUGUCAUUAUAACUAGCGAGAAAAGAACUAAGAAUAGAAUGACACAAAAGGACAAACUGUAUUUUAUUGAGUAAAGGAUGAAAAGGUUUAAAAACAAGACAAACAACCUAAGAUACGAGUUACAAACCUAAAAUAACCCAGAUAAUGAAAACAGUGACAGAACAAAUGGACAAGACUCACAUAGACAGAAUUGAGGGAAUAGAAGGGUUUGACUCAAUAAAACAAAUAAAAUCUGGAUCACAACCCUGAAAGAACCCAGAUAAUAGAAAAAAUAUCAAAACAAGCUACCAAGAUUCCUUCCUAGUGAGGAGGGAAUGACUUUUCAAUUGCUAAGCUUGACAUUUAGCCACAAAUUUGCUCAUCAAAAUCACCAUGGACUUCUCCAAUUUCAGUCGGCAAGUUCCCGAGAGGAUUGUCAUUUUCCAUGUCACCACGCAUCAUCCUCACAAAGUGUGCAUCAUCGUGUGCAGGUAAAGGAUUCAUUCUAGGUGUCACUGUCUUGGAUCACAAUUAGUUUUUCCUGGAUCAUCCUUUUUAUUUCUCUUUUCAAAUCCCGACAGCUUUCAACAUUGUGCCCUUGGGCAUUAGAAUGGUAUUCACACCUUUUAGAAGGGUCAAAGUUUCUUGCACGUGGGUCCAUAUGAUUUGGAGGAAUAGGUGCAAUCAUGUCAUAAUGCUUUAACUUCUCAAAUAAGCUUGCAUAGGACUCUCUUAUUAGUGUAAAAUUAUCUUUCAAACUUUGUUCCCUUCUAUACCCCUGGCUUGGACGUGGGUUAUAGGGCGCUUGAAAAUUUUGUAGAGGCUGAUGGAGAUUUUGUGGUGCUCGUGCUCGCCUUCUUGGGUGAUUUGGUAGCUGCACAACAUACUCAAGUGGAGCAACAGAGUAUUAUGAGUUCUGAGGUGGAUAAUAGUGCCCUGGAGCAUCAUUGGAAAACAGACGAGGCUGGUCCUACCUUCGAGAUGCUCUCCUAGGACCUUUUCUCGACCCUGAUGUCAUCAUGAUUUCUUCGUCCUUCUCAUUCGUGUCCCUAAAAUUCUCAGAUUCAAUCUGGACAGCCUAAGUUGUGGCUUCAAGAACUGCUUGACUUAUAAUUUUUCCUGUCUUAAGACCAUUCUCAACCAUUUCCCCAUUUUGAUUGCUUCCGAGAAGGAUUUACCCACUGUGGACAUCAUGUUUUGAAAAUAAAUUUAGCUCUUGAGCCUGAAGAAAGACAGUAAUUAGCUCGCGGUCAUCCAUGGGUGGCUUAACUCUAGCUGCUUGCUCUCUCCAUUUAAUGGCAUAUUCCCUGAAACUUUCAGUUAGUUUCUUUUUCAGGUUCGAAGAGAAAUUACGGUCUGGGGCGAUUUCGAAGCUGCAUUGGAACUGUUUGACAAAGGCCUGUGCCAUGUCAUCCCAGAUGUACUAGCGAGAUGUGUCUUGAUCCAUAAACCAUUCGGAGGCUACACCCGUAAGGAUUUCCCCAACAUAAGCUAUUAGCAAUUCUUCAUUUCUUCCCGCACCUCUUAGUUGAUUGCAAUACGUUUUCAGGUGGGUUAUGUGGUCUCCAUGUCCAUCAUACUUUUCAAAUUUGGGGAUCUUGAAACCAAGUGUCAAGUGGACAUGGGGGAACACACAUAGAUCCUUGAAGGCAAUAGUCUUUUGACCUGCCAACCCUUGCAUGUUUUUCAAUCGUUGUUCUAAGCUUUUCACUCUUUGGGUCAUUUCUUCUUGUACCAUCUUUCGGGCAGACUUCUCAAUGUUUGUAGGAAGAUCAAACAAGUACAAGUGGUACUCAGGAGAGUGGUACUGCUCUUGCUGGGUAGCAAAUUGUGACUCAUGACAAGGCUGUCCUUGGCUAUUGGCCCGUGCUUGACACAUUUUGGUCAUUUGUUAGUAUUCUAUUUUCCUCAAACAUAGUAGAUUCUUGUUGAACCCUCUGAACCUGAGUCUCUUGAGCACUUGUAACAGCUUCGAUGUCAGUUAUUAUUUUUUCUUGGAUCUUGUGAUGUCCACUUACCACAAACUGACUACUCAAACUUCUUCACAAUUCAAAACAAACAACAUGUUAGGAUGGUCACUCUCUUGUUUUUAAGCACUUUUCUUCCUUUUUUCUCUCUUUUUUUUUAAAAAAAAUAAAAUAAUUCGAUCGAACCUGAUGUGGGUUGCCUACAUAUCAUGUGGGAACAUGAAUCAGAUCUUGCGUAGUUCGGGAAGACCGGAAAUAAAGUAAAUAAACUAACUCUUUUUUUUAUUUUGGAUUUUGAAUUUUAUUUUUUUCGAAAGAAAUACUUACAAAGAAGAAAGAANNNNNNNNNNNNNNNNNNNNNNNNNUCAGUUUGACAUAAUUGGAAAAACAUGAUAUUGAUUCACUUUUAUUUUUUGAAUUACAUUUUCCCUUCUUCUUUUUUUUUCAUAAAGUUUGGUAGAGUUUCGAGGCGUUUUCAAAUACUGGAAUUUUCAUAACCGGGUGAAUUCUCUAUCCUACCUCACUUUUAAUUUUUCUGUUGUUUUUCUUUCCUUAGCCAGUCAACAUACAAGCCGAAGAAAAUAAAUGUACAAAUAACAUGUAAGAUGCAUCAGGAUGGUCUUUCAUUCUAGGUACACCUGUCCUAGACGGACCCAACCCCUGUGUUGAGUCCCCUAAGUCAAAAGCACGCGAUGCAAACAAACGUUCCUACUAGGGAUCCGGAUGAGGCUAUGUUAUUCUAGGUUUGAAACCCUGGGGGUGUGUUCUAGACAUAGUUUACCCAAGCGGACAGCUCGAGCCGAGGUGGGAGCAACGUAUUGGGAGCACGAAAGUCUACCCGGCCUUAUUGCUGGCCCAACCUCGUUCUAUUUGGUAUAACUUCUAACAGAAAAGUGGGCCACGCAAAUGUGUGCACCAUUUUUAGAAGACUUAGAAGGGAGGCGUAAGAAGACAAUUUAAUACAGUUCAAAUAAUAUCAAAGCGGUAAAUAAGUGUCAAUUAGCACAUAAGGUCCACAAAUACAGUAAUAUCAGCAAACAAUAAAGCCAAGCAUAGAUCAUAUUAAAAGGCUCGAAUUCUGAACCCUGAACCGGACAUUUUGGGUUCUUAUCCCUAGCAGAGUCGCCAGAGCUGUCACACUUCCUUUUUACCACCCGAGAGGGGAUAUAAGAGAGCUUUUCCAAUUAAAGUGACGAUAAUCAAAAUGGGAUUAUUUAUUCAAAUUCAGAGUCUCCACUUGGGAUAAUUUAUGGUGUCCCAAGUCACUAGUUUAAAAUCCUGAAUCGAGGAAGUUUGACUCUAUUUUACAGUCUGUGAACACAGAAAUCCGGGUAAAAAAUUUUGUUAACCCGUGAGAAGGUGUUAGGCAUUCCCGGAUUCCGUGGUUUUAGCACGGUCGCUUUAAUCAUACUUGGCUUAACUAAAUUGCCUAAUUACUUAUUUUAGAACCUAUGUGCAUUUACCUCUUUUAGUCAAGAAAUUAUCUUAAAACAUGUCAGGCGUACGUGUACCCAUUUGUUUGGCGCGUUAAAGAUUAUGUCACGUGAACAUGUCCACAAUUAAUAACGCUUUAUUAUUAUUAAGAAAGUUUGACUGAAGUUGCGCGAACGUAUACCUCGAUUUACUUUUAGAAUUAUAAUUAUGUCACACGAACGUGUACAUAAUCACGAUGAUAGAUUCAAAAUGCGCCUAAAGCAUUCUAACGUACUCAAUAGCAAUAAAUAAGAUUCAUAUUAAACCCAAAUCCCUUUUAAUAUAAAUUUGUUUUCAAUUUUUUUUUACGUUUGUCAGUCUAAAAUGCGAAAGACUCAAGCAAAGCCCAAGUUUAAUUUUUUGGUUUAAACCCAACCACUCUAAAAUAUUCUUAACCCCGAAGCUCUUGCUUGUUUCAUGGUAGUGUCCGUUUUAAUUUUAACUUUUAUAACUAAACCCAAUAACUCAAAAUCAAAUUAUCUCUUAUGUUCUUAAUUAUGGAAGUAGUGAUUCAAAGUAUAACAACUACUCUGUUAAGAAUGCAUUAACAUACAAAUUAUAAUAUAAGCCACAAGACCAUUUCGUAAAGUAAAUCAAACAGCAGCAAAGCUAGAAAAUAAAAUGCAAUAAAAAAGAGAAAAGAAUUGGACCUUUAAUGAUAAGUUUCUCCUGGAAAUUGAGUUGAAUCUACACUUUAAGUAGCCUUUUCCAUUAAUAGAACUUCCCAAAAUAAUUUUACAAUUGAUGAAGGGAAGAAAAAUCCGAAGAGGAAACUUGACUGGAGAAACGAAAAAUCAACAAAAAAUAGACAAAACGUGAACCGAAAACCUCGAUCUACAACUUCAAAAAAAUAUAGCUAACCCGACCCCUUUAGUUUAAUGUUAAGCAAGGGUGUUUGAAUUAGUUGUAGUUGAUAUUUUGUGUUAGGGACAAUAAUUACGGCGAGAUUUGGUGGGAGUAAACAAGGGUGAAGGAAGAUGAGAUUAAUGGUGGUUUAAGGAAUGGAUUAACUUUGUAGAAGAAAGUGAUAUUUAUGGGCCCUCGUUUUCCUCUGUUGUUUCGUUCCUCCAAGACUUCUCUCGUUCUCCUCUCUAAUUUGUUUCCCAUCACCCUCUCUCUCUCUCUCUCUAUUCUGUUUCUGUUCGCCCCCUCUGUAUCUCUGUGUGUGUUAUAUAAGGUACGGUAAAAUGGAGUGGUGAGUGAGAAAGAAAAUGUGUGGG